rnacentral:rRNA from 1 species
UACGAAGGGUGCAAGCGUUACUCGGAAUUACUGGGCGUAAAGCGUGCGUAGGUGGUUCGUUAAGUCUGUCGUGAAAGCCCCGGGCUCAACCUGGGAAUGGCCGUUGAAACUGGCGAACUGGAGUGUGGCAGAGGGGGGUGGAAUUCCGCGUGUAGCAGUGAAAUGCGUAGAGAUGCGGAGGAACACCGAUGGCGAAGGCAGCCCCCCUGGGCUGACACUGACGCUCAGGCACGAAAGCGUGGGGAGCAAACAGG